CGGUAGUCCACGCCGUAAACGAUGGAUACUAGCUGUGGGGACUUCGGUCUCCGUGGCCAAGCGAAAGUGAUAAGUAUCCCACCUGGGGAGUAUGUUCGCAAGAAUGAAACUCAAAGGAAUUGACGGGGGCCCGCACAAGCGGUGGAGCAUGUGGUUUAAUUCGAUGAUACGCGAGGAACCUUACCAGGGCUUAAAUGCAGGCUGCAUGGGGUAGAGAUACCCCUUUCUUCGGACUGCCUGCAAGGUUCUGCAUGGUUGUCGUCAGCUCGUGCCGUGAGGUGUCAGGUUAAGUCCUAUAACGAGCGCAACCCCUACCGUUAGUUGCCAGCAUGUCAAGAUGGGGACUCUAACGGGACUGCCGGUGCAAACCGUGAGGAAGGUGGGGACGACGUCAAAUCAUCACGGCCCUUACGUCCUGGGCUACACACGUGCUACAAUGGCCGGUACAGAGGGAAGCCACCCCGCAAGGGGGCGCGGAUCUACAAAACCGGUCACAGUUCGGAUCGGGGUCUGCAACUCGACCCCGUGAAGCUGGAAUCGCUAGUAAUCGGAUAUCAGCCAUGAUCCGGUGAAUACGUUCCCGGGCCUUGUACACUCCGC
rnacentral:rRNA from 1 species